CCAAGUGAAGUUCCUGUCUGCUUUAGCGCAGCUGAAAGUCAGUGAAAGCGAAGCCCCUGUGAGUCAGAGAGCCCUAGCAGCCCAACCAAUGAUCAACUGCCAAGUCCGGUUUCCUCCAACAGUCUUCACGGCACUGACCAGCAAGGAUGCAGCUCUGUUUGACCAUUUGAGCCAAGACACAAUGUAUCCGUCUCAUAUUCAGUAUGAGCAGCUCUUUAAGUCUGUCCUGCUCAACUUCCCUUUUCUGAAGGAAAGUUAUGGAUCUG